rnacentral:rRNA from 1 species
UACGUAGGGGGCUAGCGUUGUUCGGAAUCACUGGGCGUAAAGCGCACGUAGGCGGAUUGUUAAGUCGGGGGUGAAAUCCUGAGGCUCAACCUCAGAACUGCCUUCGAUACUGGCAAUCUCGAGUCCGGAAGAGGUUGGUGGAACAGCUAGUGUAGAGGUGAAAUUCGUAGAUAUUAGCUAGAACACCAGUGGCGAAGGCGGCCAACUGGUCCGGUACUGACGCUGAGGUGCGAAAGCGUGGGGAGCGAACAGG